GAUGAACGCUGGCGGCGUGCCUAAUACAUGCAAGUCGAGCGAACGGACGAGAAGCUUGCUUCUCUGAUGUUAGCGGCGGACGGGUGAGUAACACGUGGAUAACCUACCUAUAAGACUGGGAUAACUUCGGGAAACCGGAGCUAAUACCGGAUGAUAUUUUGAACCGCAUGGUUCAAAAGUGAAAGAUGGUCUUGCUGUCACUUAUAGAUGGAUCCGCGCUGCAUUAGCUAGUUGGUAAGGUAACGGCUUACCAAGGCAACGAUGCAUAGCCGACCUGAGAGGGUGAUCGGCCACACUGGAACUGAGACACGGUCCAGACUCCUACGGGAGGCAGCAGUAGGGAAUCUUCCGCAGUGGGCGAAAGCCUGACGGAGCAACGCCGCGUGAGUGAUGAAGGUCUUCGGAUCGUAAAACUCUGUUAUUAGGGAAGAACAUAUGUGUAAGUAACUGUGCACAUCUUGACGGUACCUAAUCAGAAAGCCACGGCUAACUACGUG
rnacentral:rRNA from 1 species